GGCAGUAGCAAAGCAAAAACCUGGCAAAGAGCAAAUGGCUAAAAGCCACAAUGGCUAAAAGCUGAAUGGCUAAAAGCACCAACUCUCCCCAGUACAAACUCUUAUAUAGGAUUUUUCCAACAAGCUAAGGCACAAGCUCAGACCACCACUCCUUAACCUACUAGAAUUCCAGUUUCUUAUCACGCCAGGUUACGUAUAGAGCUAUGCAUACAAUCUAUUGUGUUCUAUCUGAGAAAUGUCAGCAGUAUUCUCACUAUAGCUCUGUUAUGUCUAAGUCCUGUCUACAACUGUGGGCUUGGAGCUUUUACUGAGGAUCUCAGUGUGGGCUCUCCGGGCCCCAAAGGUGCCACGGGACCCCCUGGACCACCAGGGAGCAGCGUCACCGGGCCACCUGGCCCCCAGGGGCAGCGGGGGCUCCCCGGGUCCAGCGGGCAGCCGGUAGGUGCUGGGGGGUUGUGCCAGGGGCUGUGCCAGCGGGGGGCUGUGCCAGCGGGGGGUGUGCCAGGGUGUGGGGU
rnacentral:lncRNA from 1 species